rnacentral:rRNA from 1 species
AGGAUCCACUCGUCCAAACGCAAUUGCAUAGAGAGGGCCUUUGGAGUUUGGAAGAUGAAAUGGCAAAUUCUUUUGAAGAUGCCAAGCUACUCAAUUGAAACCCACAAGAUGAUAGUGGCUGGUACCAUGGCAUUGCACAAUUAUGUUCGCUUCCAUGACAAGUCAAAUCUCCACUUUGUUCGAUGUGAUAGGGAUCCGGAUUAUGUGCCAACAAUUCCAGAACGGUAUAAGAAGUUUGUUGUUCCUACAAAUGCAUCGGAUACGUCAACUUCGGAGGAAAAUGGUGUUGACAUGGAUCUAUUUAGGAACCAACUUGCUACUGACAUUGCUCUAGGUUGGUGA